rnacentral:rRNA from 1 species
AGAGUUUGAUUAUGGCUCAGGAUGAACGCUAGCGAUAGGCCUAAUACAUGCAAGUCGAACGAGGUCCAACCUUCGGGUGAAGACCGAGUGGCGAACGGGUGAGUAACACGUGGGGAACCUGCCCUUCUCUCUGGGAUAACCUCGGGAAACCGAAGCUAAUACCGGAUACUCCUUGCGGACCGCAUGGUCUGCUCGGGAAAGCUCCGGCGGAGAAGGAUGGCCCCGCGGCCCAUUAGCUUGUUGGUGGGGUAACGGCCCACCAAGGCGACGAUGGGUAGCCGAGCUGCGAGGCUGAUCGGCCACACUGGGACUGAGACACGGCCCAGACUCCUACGGGAGGCAGCAGUGGGGAAUCUUGCGCAAUGGGCGAAAGCCUGACGCAGCAACGCCGCGUGCGGGAUGAAGGCUCUCGGGUCGUAAACCGCUUUCAGCAGGGAUGAAAAUGACAGUACCUGCAGAAGAAGCCCCGGCUAAAUACGUGCCAGCAGCCGCGGUAAUACGUAUGGGGCAAGCGUUAUCCGGAUUCAUUGGGCGUAAAGCGCGCGUAGGCGGCUUGUUAAGUCAGGCGUGAAAUCCGGGGGCUCAACCCGCGGCUUGCGUCUGAAACUGGCAGGCUUGAGUCUGGUAGAGGAAAGUGGAAUUCCUGGUGUAGCGGUGAAAUGCGCAGAUAUCAGGAGGAACACCAGUGGCGAAGGCGGCUUUCUGGGCCACGACUGACGCUGAGGCGCGAAAGCUAGGGGAGCGAACAGGAUUAGAUACCCUGGUAGUC